rnacentral:lncRNA from 1 species
AUGUCCAGCCUCCGGGGCCGGCAGAGGGGAUUCUCCGGCAGGACUCCGGUCCUCCGAGCCGCUUUUGCUCCCUUCGGGAAACCCGCUCCGGCACAAGGCAUCGCCUGCCUCCCCGCUCCGCAGCCCGCACCGGACACCGGGAAAAGCGGCCGGCAGCCGGGGGGACCUCCCCGGGCACCCGGGGGGCUGCAGCCAGGAGGAGCCGGCGUUUAUGAGAGAUUUAUUCCCGUGCCCACGCUGUCCCCCCGCAGCCAGGCCUUUGCAGCCCCCCGGCACGCCGGGCUCGGGAUGCUUCCCUCGAAACACUUCGUCCUCCGCUAUGAAACUCAGCGGCAGCCCGGGAGGGGGGUCAGCCUGCCUUCAGCCCCUCCGGGUGCACCUGCCCGGGGAUGGGGACGGGGCCGGGGCCGGGGACAUCGCUCCGGGUGGCGGCCGGCCCCGGGGAGGUGGCAGCGGGACGGGCACCGCCGCUCCCCUUGCAGAGGAGCCCGGAGGAGCCGAGCGCCUCUCCGCCGGCCCCCAGCCCCUUUUCCAGCCCCGGGGACCCCCCCUCCCGCCGCCCCUCACCUUUUCUUCUCCUUGUCAGCUGUCAUCGCGGCGGUGGCGGCCGGCUCCUGCGCCGCCUCUCGGGCCGGGGCGGGCUCAGCACCUGCCCGCGGGGCUCGGCACGGCUCAGCACGGCUCGGCUCGGAGCACCGGCUCGCCCCCGAGGCGGGCGUACAGUCUCAGGACACUGCCGAGGAUUGUACGGCCCGCCCGGGGGAUGGGGGGGGGGAGAGUGGGAGAAAGCAACGACGGCGGCGGACAGCAGCGGCCGGGUGGCGGUGUCGGGGCUGCGCGGCUCGGCGCCGCCCGCAGAAAGUUCUCACUUUAAACCUUGGGCCGCCGCCGGCCGCGGGGGCAGGGGCAGGGCCGGCCCCUCCGGCACGGCCCCGGCCCGGCACGGCUCGGCCCCGCCCGCCCAUGGGGCCGGCAAGGCGCUGCCGACGAGCCCCGGCCUCCCCGCCCCCGGCCCUGGGGUCAGCGGGACCCCCUCCGCCCCUCCCCGCCCCUCCUCCGGUCCCGGGACACCCCCUCACACACCGGCCCCGGGACCCCCCUCCCCAAAACCCUUUUACUUUCCGGCUCUUCCAGCUCGCCUUAUUUCCCUGCCCAUAA